UGAGGAAUAUUGGACAAUGGAGGCAACUCUGAUCCAGCCAUGCCGCGUGCAGGAAGAAUGCCCUAUGGGUUGUAAACUGCUUUUAUUUAGGAAGAAUCCCCAGUACGUGUACUGGGUUGACGGUACUAAACGAAUAAGGACCGGCUAACUCCGUGCCAGCAGCCGCGGUAAUACGGAGGGUCCAAGCGUUAUCCGGAAUCAUUGGGUUUAAAGGGUCCGCAGGCGGGCUAUUAAGUCAGUGGUGAAAUCUCUUAGCUUAACUAAGAAAUUGCCGUUGAAACUACUAGUCUUGAAUUCGGUCGAAGUGGGCGGAAUGUGUCAUGUAGCGGUGAAAUGCAUAGAUAUGACACAGAACACCGAUAGCGAAGGCAGCUCACUAGGCCUGAAUUGACGCUCAGGGACGAAAGCGUGGGGAGCAAACAG
rnacentral:rRNA from 1 species